UGAAUCACUGAAGAACUUCUCGCUGAAUCGCUGAAGGUUUAUCAGGUUUCACUAUUUCACAUUGAAAGGCUGAAGAACACUAUUUCACGAUUUCUUGUUGAAGAGCUGAAGGUUACGCCUCACAAAUGAACACGCCUCACUAAAAUGCUUCACUUGAGAAGAUGAUGUCUUAAAGCUUCAUCACAUUUUGUUGGAAUAGGGUUUAUCAGGCAUGUUCAUUGCUAAGGGUGGUAGUAAGGUUCUGGUGGAUCCUCAUAGACAUGGAGGUGUGUUCAUUGCUAAGGGCAAGGAAGAUGAUCUUUGUACUAAGAAUUGGUACCCGGUGAAGCCGUCUACAAUGAAAAGAGAAUCUCUGUUCAGAUCAAGCUUGAGAUUAAGAUACUGUAGAAUCAUUGUGGUGAACCUAAUAUUGUGAAGUUACUCGAUAUUGUAAGAGAUCAGCUGUCAAAGACCCCAAGUCUUAUAUUUGAAUAGGUGAAUAACACAGAUUUUGAAGUGCUUUAUCCAACUCUUUCUGACUUUGACGUUAGAUAUUACAUCCAUGAGAUAUUACAAUUGUUGCAGCCUGGGCGAAAGAAGUAGCAGUCCUUGCAUCAACUUCAAAAUCUUUCUCAAAGUCAAACAUUAAUUGCAGCAUUGAGGAGAGCCUUGUUCGAUAUCAAGCUGUUACAUCUGCUUCUGAAAAGAUGGCAAUACCAAUUCACGGGUAAUGAAAGAUCAUAUACUUGAGCACAAGGUUGAGUUAGUUCCAUUUUUCCUUCAGUACUGAAGUAGGUUUUGCCAAAAGAUCAUAUAUUGGAUCUUCUUCAUUUAUCAGAUACUGAUUCCUGUUCAGUCAUGCAAAGUACAAGUUACAGCUCCUGAAAUUUUGACAUUUAUGCUAAAGUUAGACAAUGCACUAGAAAGGCAGAUAUUCAGAAGAAUUUAUGAAGUUCUUAACAAUCUGCAAGGAAUGAACUUAAUAGUCUCUUCAUUUCCUAAAACCGAAUAAGGGAAAUUCUUUCUGUGGGUUAUCAUUUUCCUCUAACCGGCAAUGUUGCAGCUUAUAUAAAUACUUCAUCUUCUCGUCCAAG